GCUUUCAGAAGUGAAGCCUGAACUGAAAGUAACAGUUGGAAAACUAAAGAGAUAUAAUAAUAAUAAAAUAAUAAGUUAAAUCAGCUUUUGAAGAUUCUUUGUGGUAACUUGGCACCAUGAUUUAUUAAUAACCAAAGCUUUCAAGCCCUCCUAUAUUACAUAAGAUUGAUCUCUUAAUUUAAAAAUAUUCUGUUUAAAAAAUUUUUAGGCUAAAGGAUAAGAAAAUUAUUAGAUUAGAAUAUGUCUACCACUGUUAUAAUAGGGAACACUGUCAAAGUAUUAUGUAACAAAAUAUAUGCUUGCUUGGUUAAUACACUACUCUUUACUUUUAUCACUGCUACUGAAAAUCCUUCCUCAUUCAGUGCCUUAUUCAUCCAGCUGGCCAGCUUAACUACAGACAAUUGACUGUACUAAAAGAAAGAAGUGGCUCGUGAUCAUGGGGGAAAAAUUAUUAGAAAUGGAAAGGUGGGGAGCAAGGGAUUUGUGCAAGGGUGCAUUUGCAAAGAUGGCAAGAACAUCAGAAGCUGAAAUUACAGGUUUCUUAUGGAAAAAUGCAAUAGGUGGGGGAUUCUGGAGGUUCCUGCCAGAGCAAAAGGACUAAAAGGCAGCAGCUCAACAACUCAGGCAGGCAGCUGAUGACCAACAUGACAACAGGACAGUGUGAGGAGAGUGAGUCUGCACACGCUGCCUGGCUCUGCACAGGCCUGGCAGGUGAUAGAGGGGGAAGAAGGCUGAAUCACAGUGACAGAACCAAGGAACACAAAUUGACUUCAGGAUUUAUUUUGGGAAAAGAUUAAACAAUAUCUACCAGAACUGAAAUUCAUAUAUCAUUUCUGUUAUGACUGCCUAAUGACUACUUUUAUGCCCUUAAAACAUCAUGCAGUUUUUACACUCUUCAUAUUGCCAGAAACUAUCAUUUUUAGAGGCAUAUAAGGCUCAUUUCCUUUGAAAUGACUGCUAUGUGGUAAAGCUGUAGAUGUUGUAAUACAACUAGCUCUGAAAUAUAAAGGCAUUAAAAUAUUAAUAUUUUAUCUUUCUCCCCUUUCCUUUAGAAAUUCUGCUGAUUUAGAGAAAUUAAAAUCAGUAGGAGACCUGAGAACAGAACAUAAGGGCUGCAGAAUCCUAUUUUCCCUAAGCUGGCACAAAAAAUAAACUUUGGGAAAUUGAGUGAACAGUUGCUAAAAAGAUACAACUACCAGAGGAAGUAGUAAUGCCAUCAUUUUUAUGGCAUUAAAGUUUCUUCAUAUAGCAAUGCCAAUACCUAACAUGCUGAAUGCUGCUUCUACAAUGACUAGACAGCGUCCAAAUUGGAUUUAAGCAAAUUAUUUACCUUACUAGGCAUCCUAAUGUUCAGUAUUUCAUUCCAUUAGAGCAAUUAAACUUUCAGCUAGCAAAAACAAAAAAAAAAAGCAAACCCAUAGAAAUGAGAAAAUUAUCAGAUUUUUCCCAGCUGACCUUGGCAUUAAUUACACAGCCAAAGCCAACAGUAAACUUAGCGAAAGCCAGGUAUGUUGUAUUUUAUACAACUUUAAACAAUGCAUAUCAUCCAGACACGUUUUAAUCAUGCACUCUCCAAUUUAUAUCUCAAUUUACAAUAACAUUGCAACUAGCAACUCCAGAAACAAGGAUAAUGUAAAUGGGGAUGCAGAACAGAUUUUAUCAUAUAAUCUUCCCCAAAGAUAGAAAAAAUCUUGGAUGGAGAUCUUUUCAUUGCUGUUGAUACACAGCAAUUUAAUUCUGCACCUGUAACCAAAUCUCACUAGUUUUAUGCAAUUAAUAGAUACUUCUACACAAUAUUUUCAUUUCAGUUUUCAAGAAAAAUACCACCAGUGUGGAUGUUUUAAAGACCUGUUUUAAGUAUUGGGGUAGUUAUGCUACACAAAAGACUUCCACGGUCUAAAAAUAUCACUAAGCAUAUUAAAAUAUCCCCCAGAGAAAGGAAAGUUCAACUACAUGUUCAUGUCCUAUAGGUACACAAGUCACUGUGCCCUCCCUUCUAGGACAGCCAGCAGGAAAGGUAAACCACAGAGCACUCACUGGCUACCAGGGAUUUUCUUCUCCCUGCAUUUCUCAUUGUCAGGGCUGAAAAAAUCAUUGCAUUAUAGAGAAGAGCAAAAAGCCUGGGAACCUCUUUGGGCUUUGAGCCAAUUCCAGAAAAAACUAUUCCUUAAUUAGUUUUCAUCAGAGUAUAGCUGACUUGGAUCCUACUGUCCUUGAUACUUUCGCUUCUUGCCUUUUUGUGCUUUGAUCUAUUUCUUAUAAAUAAAAGAGGCACUAUGAAAAGCAGGGGAAAUGGUACCUGCUUCUUGUGUAGGUUACCCCAAUCAGUCAGUGCCAGCAGGGGAGGAUGAGCAGAGAGGGGAGGCGACUCUUCCUGCACUGCCUGGGGUGACCCCCACAGCUCUUGCACACAGAACAUUUCAGACAUCUGGGUCUCUGCUAUACAAAUCUUUAACAGCCUGCUAAGGUGCAAACACUUAUAGGGUGUUACUGUUACUUAUGAGAGCUAAGCUCAGAAAUGUAUUGGAAAGACUACAAGUAAAGAACAUUUAUUGAAUUACUAUGCUUUAUCCAUUUCAAAGCAGCAGAAACUUUCUAAUGCCCGCCUUGUCAGUAGAGGACAUUGAAAACUUUCAUUAGCACUGUUAGUGCUAUUCAUCAGCAUCAGCUUGGUCUCUCUCAGUUGCAUUGCUCUCAGUGAAUGAUUAAUGUUGAAAUCCUCUUCUCUUUAAAUGUUUAUCAUCCUCUUAGAUAUGGCUGGAAGUUUAAUUUCUCAGGGCAUUGUCAAAUAAAAUGUGCUGCAGUUCCUGAAAGUUAAAUACUACACAGAUAACCAGAGCCUCCCCUGUUUCUAACAGCAGGCUAUUCCUUUCUAGCGGUGACAGAACAGAUCUGUAUUAUAUCACAUAUAUUUUUCAUUGUAAAGCAUUUCUAAAAUGAAUAAUAGAAAUUAGCAACUGCAAAGAAUUGUGAAAGAAUUGCUUCUAUGAAAGGUAACUUCAAUCCAAAAGUCCCUUAGAGGACCAACACAGUAAAUGUAGGCUUAUCAAUAUAUGGCAAUAAGUUUCACAAAGAUUAGAAUCUGGGUUGGUAAACUUGGCUAUGUUCACAAAAGAAAAGAAGAAUCUACUAGAAUGGGAAACUCUCACAUAGUUUCCCUCCAUGCUUCUUGGCAGACAAUUGAUACAUCAAAUUCAGCAAGAUUUUAAAAUAAACAGUAAUAUU
rnacentral:lncRNA from 1 species